rnacentral:rRNA from 1 species
UACGAAGGGGGCUAGCGUUGCUCGGAAUCACUGGGCUUAAAGGGCGCGUAGGCGGCUCGCGAGGUCGGGGGUGAAAUCCCGCAGCUUAACUGCGGAAGGGCCUCCGAUACCGGCGGGCUGGAGGAAGGUAGGGGUGCGCGGAACUUCUGGUGGAGCGGUGAAAUGCGUUGAUAUCAGAAGGAACGCCGGCGGCGAAAGCGGCGCACUGGACCUUUUCUGACGCUGAGGCGCGAAAGCUAGGGGAGCAAACGGG